rnacentral:rRNA from 1 species
AUUGAACGCUGGCGGCAGGCCUAACACAUGCAAGUCGAACGAGUGGCGGACGGGUGAGUAAUGUCUUGGAAACUGCCCGAUGGCGGGGGCUAACUACUGGAAACGGUAGCUAAUACCGCAUACUAUCGGAUGUGCCCAGAUGGGAUUAGCUAGUGGGUGGGGUAACGGCUCACCUUGGCGACGAUCCCUAGCUGGUCUGAGAGGAUGACCAGCCACACUGGAACUGAGACACGGUCCAGACUCCGACGGGAGGCAGCAGUGGGGAAUAUUGCACAAUGGGCGCAAGCCGGAUGGAGCAAUGCCGCGUGUAUGAAGAAGGCCUUCGGGUUGUAAAGUACUUUCAGCGAGGAGGCGUUACUCGCAGAAGAAGCACCGGCUAACUCCGUGCCAGCAGCCGCGGUAAUAC